GCUGAGGUCUAUCCCGAUGGAAUCUCUCUGUAUACCCACAUCUUUGGAAACGCCUCACAGAGGAAUGCUGUAGUUCAGUUUUACUCACAGAACUAUUUGUUAGAUCUGUGAAAAGGAACCACAAGACAGAU
rnacentral:snoRNA from 1 species